CCAAAGGCUCUUUUAAGAGCCACCUACGUUUUCAAUAUCAGAACUG
rnacentral:ncRNA from 1 species